UACGGAGGGUGCAAGCGUUAUCCGGAUUUACUGGGCGUAAAGGGCGCGUAGGCGGCGCAACAAGUCACUUGUGAAAUCUCCGGGCUUAACCCGGAGCGGCCAAGUGAUACUGUCGUGCUAGAGUGCGGAAGGGGCUACUGGAAUUCUCGGUGUAGCGGUGAAAUGCGUAGAUAUCGAGAGGAACACCUGCGGCGAAGGCGGGUAGCUGGGCCGACACUGACGCUGAUGCGCGAAAGCCAGGGUAGCGAACCGG
rnacentral:rRNA from 1 species